rnacentral:lncRNA from 1 species
UAAAUGCAUGUAGAGAAAAGAUAAACCUAAUCAACCCAAGUCAUUUCACCGACAGUUGAACUCCACAAUGCUUUUUGAAUCGUUAUUUCAAGGUUGUCCAUCCAUUAUGUCGAUAGCUCUGCCCAAAAAGAUACAUCCAUUGCUAUCCCUUAAACUUCACCCACUGUUUUCUAUCAUCUUCUAGUCUGGUCUCCUUCCCCAACGUUCUUCCGGAAACGAGUUUGGUAGAUUCGGGUCUUCUUGAACUAGGUAAGAGGUUACUUCGCUCGCUAAAGCUUCUUUUGCAAUCUUAUGGGCACACGAGUUUUCUGUUCUGGGAAUAUGUUGGAAUUUUAUUGUUUGAAAAUGAACACUCUUACUUUGAAUGUCCCGUAUGAUUGCUCCUAUUACUGAUUUAUCUGCUUCUGUUGAUUGACACUUUCUGAUUACUGUUCGCGAAUCCCCUUUGAUUUGUACUUCUUGAAAACCCAUUGAAAUCCCUAACUUAAUUGCUUCCAAUCUUGCGUAUGCUUCUGCCGCGAACGGAGAUGAAACAUUAUUGUGAAGGACCGCCUUGGAGGCCAGCAAUUCGUCCCUAAGCCCAAACCACCACUCUAGACACAGAUUUGAAAGUUCUUUUGUCAAACGCCGCGUCAAAGUGCACUUUAAUCUUUGGCAAGACUUACAUAUUUCUGUAUCUUCUAGCCUUAUCUGGGUUUUCCUGCUUUGCUAUCGUCCCCUUAUAACUUAGAAUUUUCUGUGCUAGUUGUCUUCCUGUUAUAGACACCUGCUCAUGUACAAACUGGUUUCUGGAAUACCAAGUUAGCCCUAAAGCAUAACAGAAAAGUCGACUCUGCUCCUCAGACUCUUUCAUGAAUACCCAGGUAAUCUAGUUCCAUAACUCAAAGAUUAAGUUAUUAUUGACCCAAGAGAGAUCUAAAAGAUGCCAAACUUCUAUACUUGUAGGACAGUGUCUGAAUAUGUGAGGGCAAUCCUCAUCCCUUGAGCUACAACGGAGGCAUUGGACGUUCGUGAGUACUUGUAAAUGCCUAAAUUUCAACGAUGUCGAAAAUAGUGGUUUUAGACCAUCAAAUCCGACAAAUGAACUCGUAAAUUAUAUUAUUUAAUAUUUACGAGCCAAAUGUAGUUUUUAAAAUAUUUUUAGAAUAGUAAAUUGUGUUUUAUAAAGAUUUAUUUGGUCAAGAAAUUAAGAAAAAGAGAUAUCGAGAUCUCGAUGUUAUAAACCGAGCUAUAAAUAUUUUUAUAAAUAUUUACGGAAUGUCAAUAAGGUAGUAUUAAAAUUUCGUUAGAAAAUUUUGACGUUUGGGUGGUCAAUUAAAUAAAAAGGAUUAAAUUGGAAAAUGUGUAAAAGUUGCUAAAAGGAUUAAUAGUUCAAUUGUCAAAUGAGGAAGGACUUAAAGUGAAAAUAAGCUCAAAGGAGAUAAUUUGGGCGGCAAUAGCUGAGAAAAAUCAGGAAAUGGGUGAAAUAAGGAUAAAAUUGGAAAAUUAUCAAAAAUAGCUAAAUAAAAAUGGGACUAAAUUGGAAUAUCUAGAAUUCUCUUUAUUUCUCUUCAUAUUCAUCAGAUGAAAAACAGCCAUGGAAGGGGGAAAACAGCAAUGGAAGGGGGUUCAAGCUGGUUUUCAUAUUUUAGCUUCAUGUAAGUUUAAUUCUUGCUUUCUCCUUGAAAUUUCUAUAUUUUUGAAAUUUUACAAUUGGGUCUAACUUACUAUUUCAUUAGUUUUUGAUUCCAUGACUAAUUUUUAAAAUUUUUAUGGAUGAGUGCUAAAAUAAUAUGAUGAAUAAUCAUAGAAUUGAAUCUUUACUUUUGGUAUAUAAUGAUUUUAUCAAGUACAAUUGAUGGAAAUUCAUUUUAGGACCUAAUUAAGAAAGAGUUUGGAAUUAAUGUCUAAUGCUAAAGUUCUGAUUUUUAGGGGUUAUGAAGAAGUUUAAAAUUAUAAAAUAAAGUAUUAAUUGAGAAAAAUUAUCUCAAUUGAGGGGUUAAUUGAGCAAGGACUGAAUUGUAUAAACUGUGAAAUUUGAGGCAAAAUGGAAAUUAAUAUUUUUCACUAAAACUGUUUUGGAUAGCAGCAGUAGUGUAACUUUGAAAAAUCACCAAAAAUUGUAUAAAUCUGAUUAGAAGAUUAUUAAAAUAUGAAAUUAAAGCUUAUUGAGUCUAGUUUCUUAUAAAAGAAAAGAUGUAAGCAAUGGAAUUGUGAAUCAUGAGAUAUAAUAAAUUUUAUGAGACAAGGUCAGAAUGAUUUUGGGUUCCCAUGUUUUGACUUUGGAAAAUCAUAAAAAAUUGGAUAAAAAUAAUUAGGGGCUUAAAUUUAUAUGUUUAGAAUCCUUAAUGAGCCUAUUUUCCAUAAAAACAAAUUACAAUAUCAUUUGAAUCUUGUACGAGGAUAUAAUCAAUUUUUAGUGAAGAAGAGUCAGAACUGUUAGACAGUAGAACAGGGGUAACAUUAAAGAAUAAACUGUACUUAUUAGCUAAACCAAAAAUUCUAAAAAUUUGAAGGUAAGAAGAUAUAUGAGUCUAGUUUCAGGGAAAAUUAUCAGAUCUUAAUUUGAAGUUAUAUAGCUCCAAAUAUAAAUAAUUUAGUGAUUAUGAUACAGAUGGACAGCUUGAAAAUUCAUAAAAGUAAAUAAUAAAGAUUAUAGAUAAUGUUACUUACAAGUGUGUUAUAUACAUUAAGGAUGUGGAAUGGAGAGGAGGAGGAGGAAAAUAUAUAUGAAUAUUUAGCUAGCAUGGCUAAUUUGCAUGUUUUAGGCUUAAAGACUGAAUUGAAUAAAAGUAAAACAUUAUGAGGUAAUUUUGUAAAAAUGUCAAAAAUGACCAAAUUGAAGGGAAUAAAUUUUUUUAUUAUCUAAAUUAAUAAAUUGAAUGAAAUUUUCAAUUUAAGAUCGGGUGAAAAUUGGGAAAAUAGUAAAUUACCAAAAUGCCUUUUAUCUUGAUAUUUCUACAAUUUCGCCAAGUAAGUUCGUGUAACUUGAAUUAUAUUCUUAAAUGCUUGAAAUGCAUGUUUUUGUUAUAUGAAUAUGAUUUGAAUGUUCAUUAUAUGGAAAUUUAUGAAACAUUGAUAUAUUUGAAAAAAAAGGGAAAAAAAUCCCGGUUGAAUAGAAAGAAAUUCGAUGGAUCUCUGAAAAAGAAUUGACGGUAAAAAGGAUCUAGCCCGGACGGGUGAUCCUAUCUUGAUAUAGCCCUCCCGAAGAAUAUGUGGAAAAUGGAUUUAGCCCAGACGGGUAAUCCGAAUUAGGGUCUGAAUUUAGCCUGGACUGGUAAUUCAGAUCCAAGCUCAUUAGAGUAAUUGUCGUUGCAGGGGAUUUAGCCUGGACUGGUAAUCCCGACAAUACUCUAUGAGUUUAUAUUACAAGGGAUUUAGCCUGGACUGGUAAUCACACUGUAAGGAUGAGGUUCGCGGGAAUGUGCUCUCUAAUAUGAAAUUUGUAAGACCAUGGUUGAAAGAUACCAUGACAACGUGAUAUGAAAUGAAUAAGACCAUGGUUGAAAGAUACCAUGACAACUUGACAUGAAAUGAGUAAGACCAUGGUUGAAAGAUAUCAUGGCAACAUGACGGGAAAAUGAAUAAGACAAUGGUUGAAAGAUACUAUGGCAACAUGACAAAAAACGAGUAAAACCAUAGUUGAAAGAUACUAUGACAUCAUGUCGAAGAUAAAUAAGAUCGAGGAAGAGAAACGCCAAAAUAUCUAUUGAACAAUCGAUAUUCAGGUAAUAUGUAUCAGAUGGAAUGGUUAUAUGAAAUGGUUGUGUAAAAUGCUUACAGGAAUUGGUCAUAUGGAAAUAUAUGUACAAAAUAGUUGUAUGAAAUAAUUAAGAAGAUAGAUAAAUGAAAUAAGUAUAAGUACAUGGAAUCACGACAUUUUUCUCGGUCACUUGUGUAAUUGACUCCUCCAUCAGAAACCCGUUUUUGGAAACCAAUCUCUAAUCAACACCUUCCUAAUCAAGAUGCUUAUGAUGCAUGAUGAAAAAUAAAAAUAAGAAUAAAGACAAACAACCUUGGUUAGUAAUCACAAUAAAUAUGAACUGAGAAAAACUAUGGAAACUCUAACAAAUUAAGCUACCCAGUUCAAUUCUUUUGCAUAAACAAUGUAAAUGUAACGGAAAUGAAAGGCAAGAAUUGUUUCUCUCGUGUACUUAUUUUGGUGACUAUUAAAGGAUAGAGGUUCGGCAUGGCUCUAAUUAGGUGGCUCAUAUGGUUCACUACAUGCGGUUUCGGUUCUAGACAGGUACUCGAAUUGUUCAUACUGUCAUCUACUAAGAUUAGUACAGAACCUCGCUCAUUGCCUAUCACAGGCUUAUGAGUUCAAUUCGAGGGAUUACAUUUACUUAUGCCUACGCGGAGGGACAAGUUAACUCACGAAAGCAUAAGUCAUAUAUAACCUAGAAGUAUUCACUAGCCUGUGCGGAGGGACGAGUUAACUCACGAAGGCAUAGCGUUUACUUCCAUUUAAGCGAACGGAGCCCGGGUAGAGAGCUCAUGUUAUGCAAAAAAUGCAAUUGCACAGUGUGUAGGGAGAAACUCACAAACCUUUACGUUUUAUUUAAAAACUAAACUAAAAACUAAAACCAUACAAACUUAGAGCUGAAAAACAACAAGACAAAACAAGUUAGAAGAAUAUUUACAACACGAUGCAAAUACAUGACUUUUCAAAAAUAAAAUUUAAGGAUCACGACUAAAUAUUAAUUUGAAUAAGGAAUUUUGAAAAUUUUGACAACGUGCGUUUAAUUCUAGACUCGACUCUCAAAAAAAAAUCCCCAGUGGAGUCGCCAGCUGUAGCUACGUAAAAAUUUCGCUUUGAUCGCUAGUUGAGGCGAUUAUUUGAAAAUUUGAAAAUUUGAAAAUGGAAUUUCGGUUUUAAAAAGAAAAGGAGUAGCCACCGAUCUUUUUUCUAGGUGUGAUCGGACACCUAAUAAAUCUUCUUUUUAGAAAAGAAAAUUUAUUCUUGAACAAAAAUGAAGGCUGAAUUUGGGUCCACGCGAAAAUCCAGAGGAAAAUAGGGUUCAGGAGUCGGUUACGCGCGAGAAAGGUAUUAGCACCCUCGCGACGCCCAAACUUGGUAUCUUGUUAAAUACGCGUUGUCUUAAUUCUCAAAAAUACAAGUUUAAUUUUAUAUUUAAUCGCGAUCCGAUUGAAAUACAAGAAUUCAAAAUUUUUGGUUUUUUAGAAGGACGUCUCGUUUUUAACACGAGCCAAUGAUAUUCACCCAACAUAGCGAUGAAAUCAAUGACUUAGUGUUGAAAUCGGUACGUUACCUUAUUUAUUAAAAUUAAUUAAAAACAUAAAAAAUAAUAUUAUUCGCAACAAGAAUUUGUAAAUAAUGCAAACGAUGAUACAAUUAAUGAAAAAUAUUAAAAUACAAUAUUAGAAUAAAAAUAACAAUAAUAUUAAUAUAUACAUAAAUAAUAACAGAAAUGAUAAUAAUAAUAAUGACACGAUAAGUCAAAGUAGAAAAUAAUAAAAUAUUAUCAAUAGUGACAACAUAGAUUAAUAAAAUGAUGACAUGUUAACAAGAACAAUAAUAAUUAAUAAUUAAUAAUGCUAAAUUAAUUAAUAAUAAAAUAAUAAAUAAAUAAACACAAAAAGGAAGACAUAUAAUAUAAUAAUAUAAAAAUAAAGUAAUUAAAAAUAAUACUAUAUAUAAAUAUAUAUACACAUAUAAUAGAAACAUACACUAAUAUUAAUAAUAAUAAUAAUAGUAAUAAUAUGUAUUAAAUGGUAAAAGAAUAAUAGUAACAAUAAAUUAAAAAAAUGAUAAUAGUAAUAAAAAUAAAAAUAAUAGCGAUAAUAAUAAUAAUAAUAAAUAGUAAUAAUAAUACAUUAAUAAUAAUAUGUUAAUAACAAUAAAUUAAUGAAUUAAUAACAAAACAGUAAGUAAAUAAACACAAAAAUAAGAUAUAAUUAUAAUAGUAAUAUUAACAAAAUAAUAAUAAUAAUAAUAAUAAUAUAUUAAUAAAAAAUAAUAAUAAAAGGAAUAAAAACAAUGUUAAUAACAAGAAUAUUAAUAAUGGUAACAAUAACAAUAAUAUAAAUAAUAAUAUAUACAUGAGAAAAAAAAUAUAAUAAUAAUAAUGAUAGAAGUAGCAGUAAUAAAAUAAAUAUAAAUAUAAGUAUAAUAAUAAUAACAUAAUAAAACAACAAAAGUAAUGAAAUGGACGAAAUUAAAACUAAAAACGAAGUUUUGGGGCAAAUUUGAAAUAAAAAUAAAGGGGAGGAUCUAUCCGAACACGCGAAUAACAUGGAGGGACUGGUUUCGUAAUUAUACCCUAUCCCUAAAACGACGCUGUUCCAAUGUCCAUCCCUCAAAUGAUCAGAGGACCAAAUUGAAACAAAGUUAAAAUUAUAAGGCAGAAUUAAGAAACAGAAAAAAGACUGGAUUAAAACAUAAUAACAAUGCGGAAGGACCAUGCGCGCAAUUAUCCCAAAUAACAGAAACACGCGGAUCCCUUUGCAGAGCAGAUUGGGUCUUCGGGUCUGUGCCUAAACGACGCCGUUUUGGGGUGUUUUGCAACUGAAUGAAACGGUGGCGUUUUGUAGUGUUAUAAAAGGCCCUUUUUUUUUGCAAAAUCUUCGUUUUCUCUUUUCUUUCUUCAAAAAACGUGAGGGUUCUCUCAUCCCCCUCUGUCCCGGGGCCGGAGUCCGGCAAGGGAAUCGCCGUUGACCACCGUCGCCGGCUACCGUGCACGGUGGCUGGAAAUUAAAAAGGUAUAUAUAUAUUUUUUUGAAAAUUUUCUGAUUCUUUAGUUUUUAUUUCGUAUUUUAUGUAUGUACAAAUGCAAAAAGGGGAUUUCGAAAGUAAAAAAAAAAAACAACAAAAAUAAAAUCACCUAGGGUUUUUGAUCUUGCUCUUUUAGUAUUUAGAUUCUUCGAUUUGAUGCUAUUUUCCUGAUUCGUUGUUGUUGAGAUCACUGUUUUGCUCUCCUGUUAAAAAAAUCUAAGGCUUUUGUAUUUCAAAAUUUGUCGAAUCCCCCUUUUGUUUUAGACUUGGCUCUUUAUAGCCAUUUACACGUGAUUUGCUACUGCCUAUUAUGUGUUUUGUCCUUUUUUGCAGGUGACGGAACGAGAGCAGGUGGUAGCAGGUGGAGAGGUGGUAUGGUGGCUGACGUGGGGAGGUCAGACAGUAGGGGCAGCACACCUAGGGGCUAGGUUUUUUUUCUUUCUGAAAACUUUGAAGUUUUGGGCCUUUUAGGUUUGGGCUAGGGUUUUUUUUAUUUGGGCUUAGUUGGGCUGUUUGGGAUUGGGUCUAGUUUAGUUUAAUUGGGUU